UCAUCAUGAUGACGGUUGUUUCACAUUAACACAAAACCUUUUAAGGGCGAAAGAGUGAUCAAUUUUGAUGACAUUAGCAAUGAGCUGUAGCACUGUUCCCAACUUGAACAUCAUCUUCUGUGUACAUACCUGAGGCAGAGCCAGCUUGCCCAUCUGACAUCUGCUGUGGACAACCGAGUCAGAGCCAGCUUGCACGUCAUCUGUUGUGGACAUCAGUGUUAGAGCCAGCUUGCACGUCCUCUAUUGUGGACAUUGGUAGUUAGUGCUAGCUUGCACGUCAUCUGUUGUGAACAUCCGUGUAAGAGCCAGCUUGCACGUCAUCUCUUUUGGACAUCAGUGUUAGAGCCAGCUUACACAUCCUCUGUUGUGGACAUCCGUGUAAGUGCUAGCUUGCACGUAAUCUGUUGUGGACAUCUGUGUUAGAGCCAGCUUGCACGUCAUAUGUUUAGGACAUCAGUCAGAGAUAGCUUGCAUGUUAUAUACUUGUGGACAUUAGUCAGAGCCAGCAAGGACAAUCUCUGUUGUGGAUAUCUGUCUUAGAGCUUGCACGUCAUCGGUUGUUCACAUCCUUGUAAUAACCAGCUUGCACAUCAACUGAUGUGGAAAUCUGAGUCAGAGCCAGCUUGCACAUCGUCCGUUGUGGACAUCUCUUUAUGAUUCUACUCUUUGCUUAGAUUGACACUGUGACUUUAGUGUAAUAUGUUACAACCUUAAGCUAUUCCUAUUGUUGAAUAAAAAUAUUGUGUCAUUAAAAUAUAUUUUGUUGGAUAAUUUGUAUGUUGAGUUGUAUUGAUUGGACAUUGCAAAGUAUCAAGUUAUUUUAAGACAAGAAAAAGCUCAUCUUUCAUCAUGUGUUUAUAUUAAAAUUCUUGAAUGUUAGUGAAGGUACAGUUCAUAUAAUUAAAAGCAAUUUUAAUAUGAUUGCUUGUGUUUUAUUGCACAGUGAAUACCAUCUUUUCUUUAUGCUGACAUAUAGAACGGAAAAAUAGUAAACUGUCGUUUUUAUAUGCAAUGGGAUUGUAUAUGAAGACUUGCAUGUUCAGAUGAAAAAAUUGCCAUAAUUUUUCUCUUUAUAUUUUAUUCCUGCUAAAUGGUUGAUGCAAUAAAGUUAAGUCUUUAA